rnacentral:rRNA from 1 species
GACAGAGGUGCCAAGCGUUAGGCGGAAUCACUGGGCUUAAAGCGCGUGUAGGCGGGCCGCCGCGUCGGCUGCUGAAAUCCCCCGGCUCAACCGGGGAACGGGCACCGAUACGGGCGGCCUCGAGGGGGGUAGGGGGGUCUGGAACUUCCGGUGGAGCGGUGAAAUGCGUUGAGAUCGGAAGGAACGCCCGUGGCGAAAGCGAGGCCCUGGACCCUUUCUGACGCUGAGACGCGAAAGCCAGGGGAGCGAACGGG